UACGAAGGGGGCUAGCGUUGUUCGGAUUUACUGGGCGUAAAGCGCACGUAGGCGGAUCGUUAAGUCGGGGGUGAAAUCCUGGAGCUCAACUCCAGAACUGCCUUCGAUACUGGCGAUCUCGAGUCCGGAAGAGGUGAGUGGAACUCCUAGUGUAGAGGUGGAAUUCGUAGAUAUUAGGAAGAACACCAGUGGCGAAGGCGGCUCACUGGGCCGGUCCUGACGCUGAGGUGCGAAAGCGUGGGGAGCAAACAGG
rnacentral:rRNA from 1 species